CCAACAGGGAUUGCCUCAGUAACGGCGAGUGAAGCGGCAACAGCUCAAAUUUGAAAUCUGGCCCUUUCGGGGUCCGAGUUGUAAUUUGCAGAGAGUGUUUCGGGUGAGACCGCGGUCUAAGUCCAUUGGAACAUGGCGUCAUAGAGGGUGAGAAUCCCGUAUGUGACUGCGGAUCGAGCGCAUGUGAAGCCUCUUCCACGAGUCGAGUUGUUUGGGAAUGCAGCUCAAAAUGGGUGGUAAAUUUCAUCUAAAGGUAAAUACUGGCUGGAAAACGAUUGCGCACAAAUUAAGUGAUCGAAAGAAGAAAAGCACUUUGGAAAGAAAAUCCAACAGUGCUUGAAAUUGUUGAAGGGGAAGGACUUGCAACCCGACCGGCCCGUAGGCGAUCAGCGGCUGUUUUCGCCGGCGGACUCCCUCUGCAAUCAGGCCACCUUCGGUUUCGGGGGCCGGAUAAAGGCCCUGGUAAUGUAGCUUCCGCCGGGGAGUCGUAUGACCCUCUGAGCGGUGCUCUCUGACUGGACCGAGGACCGCGCUUCCGCUAUGAUGCUGGAGUGCCGGCUGUUCGCCACCCGUCUUGCAACGCCGACCGAGGAGUCUAAGAUCUCUACCAGUGUGUGGGUGUCACACCCAUGCGCGGAAUGUAAGUGAACUGAGGUGAGAACCCUUAACGGCGCCUCAUCGACCGAUCCAUAUGUCUUCGGAUGGAUUUGAAUAUGAGCAUAUGUGUUGGGACCCGAAAUAUGAUGAACUAUACUUGAAUAGGGUGAAGCCAGAGGAAUCUCUGGUGUACGCUCGCAUCGGUUCUGAUGUGCAUCUCGAUCGUCACAUUUGGGUAUAGGGGCGAAAGACUAAUCGAAUCAUCU
rnacentral:rRNA from 1 species